rnacentral:lncRNA from 1 species
GUCCAGGGUAUACACAUUUAAAAGUUGUAUCAGCGCUGCCAGAUUUCCCUCUAAAAGAGCUGUGCCAAUUUGAAUGCACACCCAAAAUGUGUGAUGCUGCCUGGUGUACUCUGUCUCCCCAUCACUGAAAGUUAUCGAUCUUUUGCAAUCUCAGUAAAAAUUAGCAUCACAUGGGUAUUUUACUUUAUGCUGCUGUAAUGAUAAGCUUGUAUGAACAUGAAAAACACUUUAAAGAUUAUAUAAUAGUCCAUCUGUUGGAUAGAUCAUUCCCAUUUGAUUUUACCAUUUUGCUUUAUUUUUUCUAGUCUUGUGCUAUUAUAAAGUAUGAUAAAAUCAACAUUGUUAUAAAUAUUUAACCAUGUCUCUAUUUUAGAUUGGAGUUUAGAAAUUGGACUGUGUGACAAAAACAUGAAUUUUCUUUUUUCCUGAGAGCCAGAAGGAGAGACAGCUAGAGCUCCCAUUUGCUGGUUUACUGCCCAGAGGCCCACGAAGGCUGGGGUCAAAGUCAAGGGCUAGGAACUCAGUCCAUGGCUACCACGUGGGUGGCAGAGACCCAAGGACUGAAGCCAUUACCUGCUUUAGCAAGGAGCAGAGCCACAGGACUUGAAGCUCUGCGCUCCAGUGUGGGGUGUGGACGUCUGAACCACCAGACCGAACACCCCAGUGCGACGUAACUUCCCAGAGCGCUGAGUCACUCUCCACACCAGGCUUAGCAGAAAUGUUUUGAAGGAAGAGUCGAGAACAUUGGGUUGAGUAAAUGAAAAAGCAGCUGAAAAGAGAAAAUGACGUCUGACUCGGAUGUUUCCUUCGUGGGUUGUUAAGAAAAUGGUGCAGAGAGGGAGGGAAAAAGAGAGGUCUGGUGGCAGGACUGUUCCCAGGGAAAGACGAUGUCUACAGCGUUCGAGAUCUGGAGUUGAAGAUCUCUUUACUGAUGAGAAAGGGGAAAAUAGCAACAUGGAGGGGGUAUCUUGCUUUCUACCUAACACGUGAUUCCUCUGACAGCACAAAGAAUCAGGUAACCCUACAGACAACUGACAAGCUAGCUAGUGAUUGAUUAGCUGUGCAGUUCUCUAAAUACUUGUACAUACCAACAUCUGAGGCUUAGCAUUCAUAACCCAUUAGCUCCAACGUGUAUAUUUAUGGCUUGAUAAUCAGCCAUCGUUAACAAUGAAGAAGCAACGCAGUGUUCACGUUUAGGAAGAACAUACAAACGGAAGAAGCAGUGCCAACAACACAAGAACAUCACCUUGCUCCCUUCCAUGAACAAUAAAGAAUUAAUCUCUGUAUUUUAAUAGUUAAAU